rnacentral:ncRNA from 1 species
AAUACGGGAGAGAGGCCGCGCAGGCACGCCGAAGGGGAAUUGCGAAAGCUCUCAGGCAAAAGGACCGUGU